rnacentral:rRNA from 1 species
UCGGCGUACCGCUCAGUAACACGUGGAUAACCUGCCCUGUUCUGGGGGAUAACCUCGCGAAAGUGAGAAUAAUACCCCAUAGUUCACCAUGCCUGGAACGGUUGGUGGAUUAAAGCUCAGGCGGAACAGGAUGGGUCUGCGGCUAUCAGGUAGUAGGGGGUGUAAUGGACCUCCUAGCCCUCAACGCGUACGGGUUGUGGGAGCAAUCGCCCGGAGAUGGAUUCUGAGACACGAAUCCAGACCCUACAGGGUGCAGCAGGCGCGAAAACUUGACAAUGCGAGAAAUCGUGAUCAGGGAACUCCAAUUGUCCCCGUUUUUACGGGGUUCUGAAUUGACUCUAAACAGGUCGAGUAAUAAGGGGCGGGAAAUAUCGGUGCCAGCCGCCGCGGUAAUACAGAAGCCGCNAGUGGUCGUCGUUCUUAUUGGGCCUAAAACGUCCGUAGCCGGUUUGGUACAUUCGUGGGUAAAUCAGACAGCUUAACUGUCUGAAUUCUGCGAGCACGGCCAAACUUGAGACCGGGAGAGGUGUUGGGUACCCUGCGGGGUAGGGGUAAAAUCC